rnacentral:rRNA from 1 species
GACGAACGCUGGCGGCGUGCCUAAUACAUGCAAGUAGAACGCUGAAGGAGGAACUUGCUCUUCUGGAUGAGUUGCGAACGGGUGAGUAACGCGUAGGUAACCUGCCUGGUAGCGGGGGAUAACUAUUGGAAACGAUAGCUAAUACCGCAUAACAGUAGAUGUUGCAUGACAUUUACUUAAAAGGUGCAAUUGCAUCACUACCAGAUGGACCUGCGUUGUAUUAGCUAGUUGGUGGGGUAACGGCUCACCAAGGCGACGAUACAUAGCCGACCUGAGAGGGGGAUCGGCCCCACUGGGACUGAGACACGGCCCAGACUCCUACGGGAGGCAGCAGUAGGGAAUCUUCGGCAAUGGACGGAAGUCUGACCGAGCAACGCCGCGUGAGUGAAGAAGGUUUUCGGAUCGUAAAGCUCUGUUGUAAGAGAAGAACGAGUGUGAGAGUGGAAAGUUCACACUGUGACGGUAUCUUACCAGAAAGGGACGGCUAACUACGUG